rnacentral:rRNA from 1 species
AUUGAACGCUGGCGGCAUGCCUUACACAUGCAAGUCGAACGGUAACAGGUCUUCGGAUGCUGACGAGUGGCGAACGGGUGAGUAAUACAUCGGAACGUGCCUAGUAGUGGGGGAUAACUACUCGAAAGAGUGGCUAAUACCGCAUGAGAUCUACGGAUGAAAGCAGGGGAUCGCAAGACCUUGUGCUACUAGAGCGGCCGAUGGCAGAUUAGGUAGUUGGUGGGAUAAAAGCUUACCAAGCCGACGAUCUGUAGCUGGUCUGAGAGGACGAUCAGCCACACUGGGACUGAGACACGGCCCAGACUCCUACGGGAGGCAGCAGUGGGGAAUUUUGGACAAUGGGCGCAAGCCUGAUCCAGCAAUGCCGCGUGCAGGAUGAAGGCCCUCGGGUUGUAAACUGCUUUUGUACGGAACGGAAAGCCCCGGGUUAAUACCCUGGGGUCAUGACGGUACCGUAAGAAUAAGCACCGGCUAACUACGUGCCAGCAGCCGCGGUAA